ACUCUGUGAAGGGCUGAUUCACCAUCUCCAGAGACAAUGCCAAGAACAAGCUCUACCUGCAAAUGAACAGACUGAGAGUUGUGGAUACGGCUGUGUAUUACUGUGU